rnacentral:rRNA from 1 species
UACGGAGGGGGCUAGCGUUGUUCGGAAUUACUGGGCGUAAAGCGCACGUAGGCGGCUUUGUAAGUUAGAGGUGAAAAGCCCGGGGCUCAACUCCGGAACUGCCUUUAAGACUGCAUCGCUUGAAUCAUGGAGAGGUUAGUGGAAUUCCGAGUGUAGAGGUGAAAUUCGUAGAUAUUCGGAAGAACACCAGUGGCGAAGGCGACUAACUGGACAUGUAUUUGACGCUGAGG